AUUUGUCAAAAAUGGCUUUUCAUUUCCGUCUCAUCUCUCUCUCUCAUUCAUCUUUUAUGCUGAUUGGGAAUCGAACAAAUACCAAAAUGGAAGCCAUGUGUGUCUGUCUCCCUCUAGUCUCCCUCUCCCUCUCCACAAAUCACCAUUACUUCUUCCUUCAAUUUUCUGACGAUGUGAGACCAUCACCGCCGCCUCCGUCCAGCUACUCGCCGCUGUCACCUCCCUUCCCAUUUACUCAGUUAUCUGAAACAAUGGAAGCUCGAGCAGCGUUUGAAAGGCGUCUCCUGUUUCCACUCCUCUCCGCCUUUAGCAGCAGCAGCAGCAGCAGCAGAUAAGCUGAUGGCUUCGUGGAGCAGUCACGACCUUACUUGAACAGGAUCUGUUCUAUAGGCUCGUACCUCUGUAUCCUUGAUUUCUAAGGAGACAGGAAACCACGUCUGGUGGAUGAACCGUGGCUGCCUGGCUAGAGCGUGAUUAACAGCCCCUUGGGUUGGGUUUCCGGCUCAUUGUGCAGUAGAUGAUCGUUCUUGGCUUGACUCCGGUCUUGUCAGGAUGGCCGGGCAGCUGUCUGACAGACUCUAAUCCUUUUUUUGUUUCCCUUUAUAGCUUUUUACAAGUUUCUUAAUCCUAUGCACAUUAGUUUGAUAAUCCAUGAUUGAUACUCCAUAUUUUUGGUUGAUAUAUUGCCAAGUCAUUGUUGAAGGUCUGUCAGCAUUAGUAUCCCAUAUCGAAUUCUCUAGGUAUAAAUUACAAGUACUUAAAUUGACAGGAGAGUGAAGUAGUCACGACCUUACUUAACAUGAUAUGUUCUAUAGGCUCAUAAGUCAUACCUUUGGAAUCCACAAAACCACAUCCGGUGGAUGAACCGUGGCUGCCUGGCUAGAGCGUGGUUAAUGGUGUGAUAACCUCUAUAUCUUUUAGGUCCUAUGCUUUUUGAGUCAUGUUCUGAAUGUAACAAAGAGCAGCCAAGCUGGUUUCUGUGCAAAAGAAGAUGGACAUGGAAGCUGGAUAUCCAUCCAUUGUAGCAGUUAAGGUAGCAAGAGGAGCAAUUUUGGGGGUUGUUGGAAUUAAUGUGUUCCUUGGAAAUGUUUGUGCUGCACCGAUGCAGGAAAUGGAUGUUCUAAGGUAUAUAUACGCUUCUUGUGCUUGUUUUCUCUUGUAGAUGCAUGUAUGUAUUUUAGUUGGUUCUUACACACUGUGGCUAUGGCUGCUCCAAUUUUGAAUCAUUCAUGACACUGAAGUUUCCAAGUGGGGCAAUAAUACAAGGUACAUUCUUCUAAAAAUUUAGCAUUAUAGCUGAACAUAUAUCACCUAUCCUUAUAGAAAUUGUAUUCCCACAUCGAAUGUAUAAAGAAAGGUUGAGCAGACCAUGUGGUAUAAAAUCAUGGGUAAGUCAAUGGAAAACUCAUACCUUUCUCGGCCUUUUGGCUAA